AGUGAACGCUGGCGGCGUGCUUAACACAUGCAAGUCGAACGAGAACGGAUUAUAGCUUGCUAUAAUUGUCAGCUAAGUGGCGCACGGGUGAGUAAUGUAUAGGUAAUAUGCCUCUUACUAAGGGAUAACAAAUGGAAACGUUUGCUAAUACCUUAUACUCCUUAUUAACAGAAGUUAAUAAGGGAAAGAUUUAUUGGUAAGAGAUUAGCCCGUAUUGUAUCAGUUAGUUGGUGGGGUAAUGGCUUACCAAGACUAUGACACAUAACUGGUUUGAGAGGAUGAUCAGUCACACUGGAGCUGGGACACGGUCCAGACUCCUACGGGAGGCAGCAGUGGGGAAUAGUGCACAAUGGACGAAAGUCUGAUGCAGCAACGCCGCGUGGAGGAUGACACAUUUCGGUGCGUAAACUCCUUUUAUAUGAGAAGAUAAUGACGGUAUUAUAUGAAUAAGCACCGGCUAACUCCGUGCCAGCAGCCGCCGUAA
rnacentral:rRNA from 1 species